CUGGCGCAUACUAUACAUGCAAGUCGAGCGGACAGAAGGGAGCUUGCUCCCGGAUGUUAGCGGCGGACGGGUGAGUAACACGUGGGUAACCUGCCUGUAAGACUGGGAUAACUCCGGGAAACCGGAGCUAAUACCGGAUAGUUCCUUGAACCGCAUGGUUCAAGGAUGAAAGACGGUUUCGGCUGUCACUUACAGAUGGACCCGCGGCGCAUUAGCUAGUUGGUGAGGUAACGGCUCACCAAGGCGACGAUGCGUAGCCGACCUGAGAGGGUGAUCGGCCACACUGGGACUGAGACACGGCCCAGACUCCUACGGGAGGCAGCAGUAGGGAAUCUUCCGCAAUGGACGAAAGUCUGACGGAGCAACGCCGCGUGAGUGAUGAAGGUUUUCGGAUCGUAAAGCUCUGUUGUUAGGGAAGAACAAGUGCAAGAGUAACUGCUUGCACCUUGACGGUACCUAACCAGAAAGCCACGGCUAACUACGUGCCAGCAGCCGCGGUAAUACGUAGGUGGCAAGCGUUGUCCGGAAUUAUUGGGCGUAAAGGGCUCGCAGGCGGUUUCUUAAGUCUGAUGUGAAAGCCCCCGGCUCAACCGGGGAGGGUCAUUGGAAACUGGGAAACUUGAGUGCAGAAGAGGAGAGUGGAAUUCCACGUGUAGCGGUGAAAUGCGUAGAGAUGUGGAGGAACACCAGUGGCGAAGGCGACUCUCUGGUCUGUAACUGACGCUGAGGAGCGAAAGCGUGGGGAGCGAACAGGAUUAGAUACCCUGGUAGUCCACGCCGUAAACGAUGAGUGCUAAGUG
rnacentral:rRNA from 1 species